CAAGCCAAUCAGACCCGGUCAGCCCCCUGUCGCCUCUCCCACCCAUCCCAAUGUCAACCGCUUAGGGGCGGGGCUCUUCCAGAACAACCAAUCAGUGGGCAUCCGUGGUGGAGGCGUAGUCAAACAGUAAAAUAACUCUCGAAUGCUGAAUUUAAGCCCAGUAGCCCCAGCUGAAGCUGAUAUCACCCCAAAAAGCUGAACAGGCAUUCCACAGCACAGGAGGGUUCAAUACUAUACAUAUGAAAAUGAAUAUAAGUAUAUAUAUAUGUGUAUGAAACAUGAAAUACUAUCCCCGUCUGGGCUGUACAGAUGUUCAUCCAUUCUUGUCUCUUAUAUCUUCCCUUUAAAAA